rnacentral:rRNA from 1 species
AUUGAGCGCUGGCGGCAGGCCUAACACAUGCAAGUCGAGCGGAUGAAGGGAGCUUGCUCCUGGAUUCAGCGGCGGACGGGUGAGUAAUGCCUAGGAAUCUGCCUGGUAGUGGGGGAUAACGUCCGGAAACGGGCGCUAAUACCGCAUACGUCCUGAGGGAGAAAGUGGGGGAUCUUCGGACCUCACGCUAUCAGAUGAGCCUAGGUCGGAUUAGCUAGUUGGUGGGGUAAAGGCCUACCAAGGCGACGAUCCGUAACUGGUCUGAGAGGAUGAUCAGUCACACUGGAACUGAGACACGGUCCAGACUCCUACGGGAGGCAGCAGUGGGGAAUAUUGGACAAAGGGCGAAAGCCUGAUCCAGCCAUGCCGCGUGUGUGAAGAAGGUCUUCGGAUUGUAAAGCACUUUAAGUUGGGAGGAAGGGCAGUAAGUUAAUACCUUGCUGUUUUGACGUUACCAACAGAAUAAGCACCGGCUAACUUCGCG